rnacentral:rRNA from 1 species
AACGAACGCUGGCGGCAGGCUUAACACAUGCAAGUCGAGCGCCCCGCAAGGGGGGCGGCAGACGGGUGAGUAACGCGUGGGAAUCUACCCAUCUCUACGGAAUAACGCAUGGAAACGUGUGCUAAUACCGUAUACGUCCUUCGGGAGAAAGAUUUAUCGGAGAUGGAUGAGCCCGCGUUGGACUAGCUAGUUGGUGGGGUAAAGGCCUACCAAGGCGACGAUCCAUAGCUGGUCUGAGAGGAUGAUCAGCCACACUGGGACUGAGACACGGCCCAGACUCCUACGGGAGGCAGCAGUGGGGAAUAUUGGACAAUGGGCGCAAGCCUGAUCCAGCCAUGCCGCGUGAGUGAUGAAGGCCCUAGGGUUGUAAAGCUCUUUCACCGGUGAAGAUAAUGACGGUAACCGGAGAAGAAGCCCCGGCUAACUUCGUGCCAGCCGCCGCCGUAAAAC